rnacentral:lncRNA from 1 species
AUUAGCCUUGAUUUUUAACUUUAAUCAAAAUAUUUUCAUCCAUCAUCUGAAAAUAUAAUUCUUCCUCAUAAAAGGAAUUUCCUGAGAUUUAAAAGGUCAAAAUAAUUUAGAUUUGUGUGUAAACAAUUUUUUAAAAUCAACAUUAAAAUUAAUACUGAUCCAAUUGAAGGUAAGUAUGUUGUUAUACCAUAACUUAUAAAUUUAAAAAUUAUUAUUGUAAUAAUUAACAUUUACUGAGGCAAAAUACAUGCUAAAUAUUAGUUACUUGUUUUACCUGCAUUGUUUCUCAAUACAAUUUUUACGCCAUACAUAAUCUUGUUAUCUUUGGUUUAUAGACGAAGGACUGAGGCUUGUUAGAUAAGUCAGUGCCUGGUAUAAUACAUCUAUUAAAUGAUAGAGCUAGAAUUUGAAUCAGCUUUGCUGGCACAUAAGCUGUGCUCAUAACCUUCUGCUCUUCUUUUGAGUAUCACCUUUGUUCAUAUGCUUUGAAAAAUUAGUGGAGAAAGCAAUCUGAAUUUAUUUUCUGUUUUUUCCUUAUUUCAUGAUUAAAACAAAUUAAAAAAUCCCCCACAAACUAUUUGUAAUAUCUGCUCUCAACAAUGCUGCACAACAUAAUAAGCCUAACUGAGCCCUCUUCCAAAAUCAAUGUUAUUACACAAAAAAAUAAACAUCCAUGGGAAAAUAUGGUUCUCAUAAUGCGUAUAAAUAAAGAUCAUCUCAUUGCUAAUGUGAGUGCCAGGAAAUAAGGCAUUUCAAUAAAUCACAAACGUCAUUGUUC